rnacentral:lncRNA from 1 species
GUGGUUACCACCGGUCUCGAGUUAGAUUUAUUUCAAUUGCAACCAGGUACACGUACAUUGGACCCUCUUCCUGGUUGUCUCUCUAAACUGUUUUUGUUGAACUAGCAGAAACCUAACUUUUGAUAGUAAAGAUGUGUUUCCGCCCAAUUCAUACAGUAAGCCACGAUAGUUACUUGGUACCGGUCAUCAAUUAGUCAAUCUCAUUCUUCCCCUACUAUUGAUUUGUAUUGGCUUAACUACCGAAAACAAAAAUUUCCCUUUUACCCCUAAUAGUGGUCGAUUUGCUCCUUCCAGGGAGGUCUAUAUUUGGCUAACUGUCUAUCGGCUAGAGAAGUAGUGUCAAUCAGUGAAUAAUUUUAUUCUUAUGCCUUAUCUGAAUAUAGCUUUAGAAAUUCUUAACAUUGAAUACAUAAUAUACUUUAUCUGUACGUGGUUAAUCCUAAUUUUUAAACAUAAUUCUAUUUGUUAAAUGUUGGCAGGCAUAGUGUUGUGAAUUUGAAUUUGGGUGUACAUGAUCUUACUAGCUUCUAAUUCUACUGAGCCAUACGGAUGAUGGUGUGUUUGCUCUCACACAUUUAUUCAAAGGAUCAUUGUGAUGAAUGAUACCAAUUCUAGGUUGCUGGUAAUGCAUUUUCACACCAUCCGUAUGCUUGUGGUAGUCAAUAUGAUACAGGAGCAUUAAUCCGUGGAUUUCGUUUUGGUUUUGACAGGAACUUGCAUCCAAUCCUUCUAUUCCCAACUGGUGAGUUUAUAGGUUGCAGUGUUUGUGGUGGUCUCCUCCUGAUGGAGCUCAGUAUAUGCCCUUCUUGUUUACCUAAAAAUCUCUUCUCUCCUAAGAUCUUGUAGGAAUCUUUCUUUUUUCCUUAAGAAGCAUGCUACCAAUGGACGUCAGAUGUUCCAGCACCGAAAAGUUGGUGACCAUGCUUGGGUGUUUCAGAAUUCAUAUGAAAAGCAUUUAUUUUUUACUUUCAGGGAUUGCUCCAUCUUGCAGUUUAUAAUACGGCUGGACAAUUACGAUUUCACAUAUAUCUGAAAAACCACAGCCCAUCUGUGUUCUAUAAACGUUGGUGUGGUCUUAUGUGCACCAAGAAUUCUGUCAUUAACAUAAGGUAUUUUACACCCGCACUGCAAACUGUUGAUAAAUCUGAUGUGUUGUUUGCACUGAGAAUUCUUACAUUUGCGUAAGGUAUUUUACACUGGCGUUGUGAACUCAUUGACGAUUAGCAUUCAUCAGCUAAGCACACCUUGAUGUACGCAGCUUGUAUAUUAACAGGUCUUCAGAAAGGAGUAUAUCCAGUGUUUCUUCUCCUUACCUGUCACAUGCCACAGCUGUGCGAGGAUGUCGUCGGCCGUGUAUUGGGAGAUGGUGCGGUUGUUCUGCCACCGGCUACUCUCCACAGGAGGAAGCACGUACGCAAGCAUGUAAUGGUCAUUUCUUUUUGUAAUUAGCAUGUAAUGGUCAUUGGGUAGCACACGAUGAUCGAUCCAUAUAGGAUGCUAUUAAUCUGG